GCCAGCUUACUAUUGGGGUAUGAAAGAUAAAACCUUUUAUUUCCUUUUCAAAAUAAAAAGGACAUUGACAGUGUUAAAAAAAAUCUAGAGGAUUUCAGGCCUCCAGAUCCUUACAAAUCAAGGAUAUUAAAAAAAAUUACUUAGAGGAGAAAGGUUAUGCUCAUUUGUAUCUUGUUAGAAGAAAUUGAUCCAAAGCCUCAGUUUUAAUUUGCUUCAUAUAGCCAAUGACUAGGUGUUUAAAAACCAAUGAAUAUUUUUAUAAGAAAUCAACAAUAUUGUUGAAAGAAAAACCAAAUAAAAAUAAUAAAGCCAAUGAAUAGAUCAAGGCUCUUUGUGGUCUAAAACUAAUCAAACUAAGUUGUGGGCAAAGGCAAAUAUGUUUGUUUGGUCAAUAAUAAGCUCAACAAGUCACUAAUAACCACCUAAUCACUAUUCCUUAUGCUAUGCAAUAUAAUGGCCUGGGUAAUGGCGCCAAGGCAGACAAUAAGUAGCUAGCCAGUUAUGAUAGUUGAUUAACUUAACCUACUGGAAAUCUGAAGACCAAAACGAAGAAGCUUUGUCUAGAACUAGAAUAGGAACAUUCGUACCCAAAACUAAUAUACACAAUUAAGAAACUUGAUUAUAUGUAUAUUUCUGUUGGCCACACUUAAAGAGAAUUUCCAAAAGAUGCUAAGGUACACCAAAUCCCACUAUUUCAUACUCAUAAACACAAAAAACCAUGGUAAAAAUUAAUGACUAUAUCAAAUAAAAUCGGUGAUAGGACAUUGAGAUUAGGACAACUUGAUUUGUAUACCGUAAAAUAACUAUAUCUGCAUGGUGAACUAUAUUUCUGUUAGAAGUCUGAAGUUUUCUAUUAAAUUUUUUUCUCUGUUGGGUAAACCACUUAACUGAAGUGCUUAAGCCAAUUUUGACAAUCAUAGACAUAAAAGUAUUAAUAGGCUCAUUCAAGUGAAAUGAGCAUUAUUUCACACAUCCUUUAGGUUUUUAAGUCAUUUAGAAGUCAUUCAUGUUAAAAAAAAAAUUCAUAUACUUUCAAUAUAAUUAGAACAUACACAAUUAAUUAAUUAAAUAAAUCUGUUUCAGCUAGUAUAGGAACUUAAUUAAUCAAAGCUAGUAGUUAUAGCUAGGACUUGAACGAGGCACCUUUCAAAGUUCAAGAAGAGCAUCUGAACAUAAUGAAAGCACUUUGUAGAUAUGGUAAUGAUGCUUUACAUCUACAUGCUCUUACACAGCAUGAACUUUCAUUUACUCCAAGCUCUUAUUCUACAAGUCAAUUCAGUUUGUAGAUGCACGCCAUUGUAAAAACUUUUGUAUUAUAAUUUCUGAAAAUAGAAUGUAACAUUAUUAAUAUAGAAUCAGCAAUGUAUAUAACUUAUCAGACAAUAUAACAAGCACUUGGUGAGCAUACAAGAUAAACUAAAACAAGUCAUCCAGAAAAUGAAACUAAAACCCAAGCUCCGCUAUUCAUUGUAGAUGCUUUAAACAUAAAAUUAAACUAAAUCUAAUAGCAAAACAUUAGAAUGGAUGUUGGAAUUAAAGCUAAAUUCAAUAGUAAUUCAAAUGAAUCCAUUUGAACUUUGUAAAUUCCGCAGAACAAAAUUAAUUUGAGUGAGCAAACUCACCAAUGGAACAAGAACACAGGGGCUUCAACUUGUAGGAAUAAAAAAAUAUUGCUGGCGGGACAAAAAUUGACAAUAAUGGCUACAAUACGAAUUUAAAAAAAAUUCAAAAUCUAUAAUUACAAGCUAAGUAAGAGAAGAAACUCAUAAUCACAAGCUUACCUCAAAAGAUGAAGGGAGAAUACGAUGAAGAAGAAGAUGCCCGGUGUUUUACGCCGUUCGCCGGCAACCAGUUAGGUUUACGAUGGUGGCUAGUCCAGCGAAUAGUUUUCUAACUGGAAAUAAAUUUAAAUUUCUAAAAUAGUGCUAUGCCGAACGGCUCUUUACCGUCACGUGGUUAGUAACAUAUGUGACAGCAGUGUGGCCGUCACAUAAAGGGUAACAAAAGCAACUCGAGGUUACAAAGUUAGAAGUUAGUGGCAUGCGUAAUGG
rnacentral:lncRNA from 1 species